rnacentral:tRNA from 2 species
AAUAAAAUGCCUGAUUAAAGGAUUACUUUGAUAGAGUAAAUAAUGUAAAUAUAUUACUUUUAUUA